AUGAAGGAGAGAGGCGGAUCGAGGGCGGCGGUGGACGAGCGGUACGCGCAAUGGAAGUCGCUCAUCCCGGUCCUCUACGACUGGUUCGCGAACCACAACCUCGUCUGGCCAUCCCUCUCCUGCCGGUGGGGUCCUCAGUUUGAGCAGGCUACCUAUAAGAAUCGUCAGCGCCUUUACCUAUCAGAGCAGACAGAUGGAAGUGUCCCAAAUACCAUGGUCAUUGCAAACUGUGAAGUUGUGAAGCCACGGGUUGCAGCUGCAGAACACAUAUCACAGUUCAAUGAGGAAGCACGAUCACCUUUUGUAAAGAAGUACAAGACUAUCAUUCACCCUGGAGAGGUAAACCGAAUCAGGGAGCUUCCACAGAACAGUAGGAUCAUCGCCACUCAUACGGACAGUCCAGAUGUGCUUAUUUGGGAUGUUGAGGCCCAGCCAAAUAGACAUGCUGUCCUAGGAGCUACUGAUUCUCGCCCUGAUUUGGAUGUGAACGGCAUGGAUAGUGAUAAUAUCCCUAAUAUCCCUGAUUUGAUUUUAAGAGGACAUCAGGAAAAUGCUGAGUUUGCUCUUGCCAUGUGUCCAGCAGAACCAUAUGUGCUCUCAGGAGGGAAGGACAAGUCUGUGGUUUGGUGGAGCAUCCAAGAUCACAUAUCUGGACUUGGAGACUCCUCAAAAAGUGAGACUUCCCCAGGGGCAUCAGGCAGCAAGCAUAGCAAAACUGCAAAUGAAAAGGAUAGUCCUAAAGUUGAUCCUCGAGGUGUAUUCCACGGCCAUGAUAGCACUGUUGAAGAUGUCCAGUUCUGCCCUUCAAGUGCACAGGAGUUCUGCAGCGUCGGUGAUGAUGCUUGUCUUAUUCUCUGGGAUGCCCGGACUGGUACCAGCCCAGCUGUUAAGGUUGAGAAAGCUCAUGGUGGAGAUGUUCAUUGUGUCGAUUGGAAUCUUCAUGAUGUUAACUACAUCUUAACUGGCUCCGCUGAUAACUCUGUCCGUAUGUGGGAUCGGCGAAAUCUGGGUCCUGGAGGUGCUGGUUCUCCAAUUCACAAAUUUGAGGGCCAUAAAGCUGCCGUCCUUUGUGUUCAGUGGUCUCCUGACAAAGCAUCUGUUUUCGGAAGCUCUGCGGAAGAUGGUUUCUUAAAUGUGUGGGACCAUGAGAAGGUGGGAAAGAAGAAAAAUCCCAAUUCACCUGGCGGGCUUUUCUUUCAACACGCAGGUCAUAGGGACAAGAUCGUAGAUUUCCACUGGAACUCUUCAGAUCCUUGGACCAUUGUGAGUGUAUCUGAUGAUGGUGAGAGCACUGGCGGAGGUGGAACUUUGCAGAUAUGGCGAAUGAGUGAUUUGAUCUACCGCCCAGAGGACGAGGUUGUUUCAGAGCUGGAGACCUUCAAGUCUCACUUGGCCAGCUGCACUCCGAGGGCUUGA
rnacentral:rRNA from 1 species